rnacentral:rRNA from 1 species
UACGUAGGAGGCAAGCGUUGUCCGGAAUUACUGGGCGUAAAGCGCGCGUAGGUGGCCAUUUAAGUCCGCUGUGAAAGUCAAAAGGCUCAACCUUUGAAAGCCGGUGGAUACUGGAUGGCUAGAGUACGGAAGAGGCGAGUGGAAUUCCUGGUGUAGCGGUGGAAUGCGCAGAUAUCAGAAGGAACACCAAUAGCGAAGGCAGCUCGCUGGGACGUUACUGACACUGAGGCGCGAAAGCGUGGGGAGCGAACAGG